rnacentral:sRNA from 1 species
AUAUAAUUCUGUAUUCAUUGAUCAUAUUUCUGUAUUUAAAUAAGUACAUUUUUUAAAACAUCAUAAAGUGGAUCAGUAAUGCUGUAAUAUCACAUUUCAUAUAUUAUGCAACAUUUUUAAAAUGGAGUACUCCAAAGUAAUUUGCUUCUUAUGGUUACCAAAGUUUAAAGAAUACCCUAACAUGCACUCCAAGAUUUUAAGAGGAAAGCCUUUGUGUUUUUCAUUACUGUAUUUUGAAAUCUGAGAGUGCAAAACUAGUUUUCUUAGGUAAACCCCUUAAUCAGUUUCCACAUUUACCUGUAAAAGUCAGUAGAGGGCAUACAUCUGGAAGUAGUAGUGGCGGUACACAAUGUGUGUUAAUAUGAUUUCCAAGGGGUAUCUAGAGUGAACUUUCUUAAUCACAGAUCUGAUCUGAGCAUGCCACUCCUUUCUUAAAAUCUUUUGUUGAUUUUCCAUUUCCCUAAAAGGAAGGCCCACUGGAGCAUGGGCCUUGCAAAGUCCUCUUUCUGGCUUCUGCCUGCCUGCCUUUUCAGCUUCAUCUCUGCCAUCUUCCCUGAAUGAACUUUUGUCAGGGGCCUCGCUGUUUCUACCUAUGGGAUGUUGUUUCUGCAUGUUCUUGCAUGGAAUUCUCUUCCUCCCAACCCUGUUUCAUUCCUUUAAUCUGUACAACUCUUUCUUAUCCUGAAGUCUUUAUGUUAAGGUUGCCUUUUCAGGAAGACUUUUAAUUGUAUUAACUAAUUAAUUAAUUGUCUGAUGUAUUUGGAGCUGAGAUUCUAUGGGGAUUAGUUGCUGGAGGGUGGUUUAGAGCCAGAUUGUGAAGGACUUUCUAAACUGUGCUUUCAAGGUUUUGAACAGGAAAAUGAUGUAGACUCUCUGUUUUUUGUAAGUUUGGAGGAUGGCUUGUGUCUUAAAAGAAUAUGUAACAUAACCAUCUAAUUUGUGAGUAGUGGACUAAGGAAACACCACUCUAACCUUUUUCUCUCUGCGAUAAUCCCAUCUUCAGCCUCUCAAGCACUGUGAAAAAUCACUUUCUCUUGUUGUAUUCUUGGAGCCCCUGCUAAUUCAUUAUUGAAAAGUACCUGCUGCCUGCAUUUGGCCUUAUGUUGUCAUUUACUUGGUACUUCCUAAGGGUGGCUUCUCCAAUGAAGCUUUAGUAUAUGUACUGAAAGAAGAUCCUCUCAUACUGCCACGGCCAACAGAUAAGGUUGUAAAUCUUUAUUGGGAGAAGCCAUCAAGGACAGUUCUGUGAAAUGAAAGGAUCUCUGAAUCACCACAAAGUCUGGCUCAGUGAUUAUGGCUUUGCAAACACUAAACAUUCCUAUCUCAAGUCCUGUAGAUGGCUUGAAAUAGUAUACAUAAGCAUGCCUUAUAAACAUCUUCAAUCUUUAUCAACUCUUCGGAGAUUCAGCCAUUCUUUUUUGUACUUUAGGGAAUUAAAUCAUUUUAUAAUGUGGUAUAAAUCUGAGCAUGGCAGAUGGCAGAAGAAAUUUUGUCAUAUGUUUUUAAAGAAAUAAAAAUGUAUUCUGUUUU